ensembl:misc_RNA Y_RNA Y RNA
GGCUGGUCCGAUGGUAGUGGGUUAUCAGAACUUAUUAACAUUAGUGUCACUAAAGUUGAUAUACAACCCCCCACUGCUAAAUUUGACUGGCUUUUU